UACAUUCUGACCUCUUAGGUCUAGUGUCGAUGCUCAAAUAUAAACACUUCGUUGUUUCCUUCAUUUCAUAUGGCUGACCAUCAUCUUCCCAUUUAACACACAGCUUCUUUGCUAAAGGUGCGGAAAGUCAUUGGUACCUCGUCCUUGGAAGGUUUAUUGUUGGAAGAUCAUCAUCAUUAGUUCAUCGGUGGUAAGUCAUUAUUGGAAGGUCCUUGGUCGUUGUUCAAUGUUGAGAGUUCAUCGUCGAUCAUUGAGCUCGUCAUCGAUUGUUGAGAGCUCGUCGUUCGUAAGUAAGAUCGAUCUAGAUGAUCUUUGUGGGAGGUCAUCAUUCGUAAUUUCAUUGUUUUAAGGUUGACAUGGGAGGUCAUCAUGUGAGAUAUCACUCGUGAUAGCUCGUCGGUGUGAGCUCACCGGUGAGAACUCGUCAAUGGGAGGUCGUCAGGAGUGAUGGCCUACGUUUUGGUAGCAUCUUGCACUUUCGCAGUGACCUACCGUCUUUAAAGUCUCUUCUGGUCUAUCUUUUUUUUUUUAAAUUUCUUUUACUUAUGUCACUUCUUUUUUUUUUUACUUUGCUCAUCGCUUCCCUCUCUUCUUCUUUUUAUUGGGAGCUGUCGCUCCCCAUUUUUAAAUUUUCGUCCCCUUUUCUCCUCUUCUGGACAUACCUCAUAUCGUUCCUUUGUUAACAUUUGUUACUCUUCAUAAGAAGAGGAGUAUUGAGAGGUUGUUGUUAAAUCAGCCAAAAGUGAUGGAAAGACUCUGCUGGUAUUUCCUGAUUCGUUCACAGGUUUUGGCGUUAGCGCUUUUGCCCCCGACACUGACCUGUUGUC
rnacentral:lncRNA from 1 species